AACGUAGGUUCCGAGCGUUAUCCGGAUUUACUGGGCGUAAAGCGCGUUCAGGCGGUUUGGCAAGUCGGGCAUGAAAUCUCUCGGCUCAACCGGGAGAGGUUGUCCGAUACUUCCAGACUUGAGGGCAGUAGAGGGUGGUGGAAUUCCGGGUGUAGUGGUGAAAUGCGUAGAUAUCCGGAGGAACACCAGUGGCGAAGGCGGCAUCCUGGACCGGCAUUGACGCUGAGGCGCGAAAGCUAGGGGAGCAAACGGG
rnacentral:rRNA from 1 species